GUCUUUUUGAUUUUGAUUUAAAGUCUGGCCUGCCCAAUGAUUUUUGAAUGGCCGCAGUAUCUUGACUGUGCAAAGGUAGCAUAAUCAUUAGUUUUUUAAUUGAAAGCUGGAAUGAAAGGUUUGAUGAGAAAAUAACUGUCUCUGCGUGAAUGAAUUAGAAUUUCAAUUUUAAGUGAAAAAGCUUAAAUUUUUUAUAAAGACGAGAAGACCCUAUAGAGUUUUAUAUUCGAUUUGAUUCAGGAAUUUUGGAAUUUAUUUUUCUGGUUUGAUUUAAAUAUUUUGUUGGGGCGAUGGAAAAAUUGGAUGAACUUUUUUUUGUUUGAAACAUUUAUUUAUGGGUAUUUGAUCCUUGAUUUUGGAUUACAAGACUAAAUUACCUUAGGGAUAACAGCGUAAUUUUUUUUGGAGAGUUCUUAUCGAUAAAAAAGUUUGCGA
rnacentral:rRNA from 1 species